GGGUUCGGCCCCCAACUCUUCACCCUUUGCGUAUAUACCUUUGUUGCUUUGGCGGACCCGGGAGCAUUCCCGCGCUGACUCUUGGGUCGGUGAGCGUCCGUCAGAGGCCCAUUUAAUUCUGUUUAUUGGUGUAGUCCGAGUUAAAUCAUAAUAAAUAAAAACUUUCAACAACGGAUCUCUUGGUUCCAGCAUCGAUGAAGAACGCAGCGAAAUGCGAUAAGUAAUGUGAAUUGCAGAAUUCAGUGAAUCAUCGAAUCUUUGAACGCACAUUGCGCCCCUCGGCAUUCCGGGGGGCAUGCCUGUUCGAGCGUCAUUGCACUCCUCAAGCGUAGCUUGGUAUUGGGCUCUCGUCCCCGUGACGUGCCCGAAAAACAGUGGCGGUCCGGCGUGACUUUAAGCGUAGUAACAUCUUCCCGCUUUGAAGCCCUCGCCGUGGCUGGCCAAAGAACACAACUACUUCUAUAAUUGACCUCGGAUCAGGUAGGGAUACCCGCUGA
rnacentral:rRNA from 1 species